rnacentral:tRNA from 1 species
GCGGGUAUAGCCUAUCGGUCAGGCAGCAGCCUUCCAAGCUGUGCAGACAGGUUCGAUUCCUGUUGCCCGCUCCA